UAAAAAGUCUGAUAUGUAAUUGGAGACCCAAAAGUAGAGAGAUUAGCAUGGAAGCAAAUACUUGAAGAGGUACUGAUAAAAUAUUUUCCCAAACUGAUGAAAGGCAUCAACCUAUAAAUUCAAGUAGUUUAGCAAACCCCAAGCAGGAUGAACACAAAGAAAACUACACUUAGCACAUCUUAAUGGAAUGACUUUUUAACACAACUCUUCCAGCAGAAAUAUCCUUCAGACAAGAAGGCGAAAUAAAGACAUUUUUAGACAAUCAAAAGCUGACAAUUUAUGACCAGCAGACCUGCACUGUAAGAUUACUGAAGGAAGUUUUUUAGGCAGAAUGAAAAUAUCUCAAAUGGAAGUACAAAACUGUAGGAAAUAAUGAAGAGCACGCACUCGGGUAAGUGUGUGAGUAAAUAGACAAGACCUCUUGUCUCUUGUUUUUGUUGCUGUUUUUAGGAACUUUAUUGCUUUUUGCUAUUCUAGAAUAAUAGAAUUUCCACAGCUUUUAGGUUAAGGUA
rnacentral:lncRNA from 1 species